rnacentral:rRNA from 1 species
GACGAACGCUGGCGGCGUGCUUAACACAUGCAAGUCGAACGGAAAGGCCCUGCUUUUGUGGGGUGCUCGAGUGGCGAACGGGUGAGUAACACGUGAGUAACCUGCCCUUGACUUUGGGAUAACUUCAGGAAACUGGGGCUAAUACCGGAUAGGAGCUCCUGCUGCAUGGUGGGGGUUGGAAAGUUUCGGCGGUUGGGGAUGGACUCGCGGCUUAUCAGCUUGUUGGUGGGGUAGUGGCUUACCAAGGCUUUGACGGGUAGCCGGCCUGAGAGGGUGGCCGGCCACAUUGGGACUGAGAUACGGCCCAGACUCCUACGGGAGGCAACAGUGGGGAAUAUUGCACAAUGGGCGGAAGCCUGAUGCAGCAACGCCGCGUGCGGGAUGACGGCCUUCGGGUUGUAAACCGCUUUCGCCUGUGACGAAGCGUGAGUGACGGUAAUGGGUAAAGAAGCACCGGCUAACUACGUG